rnacentral:rRNA from 1 species
UACGGUGGGAGCAAGCGUUGUUCGGAUUUACUGGGCGUAAAGGGCGCGUAGGCGGUCGUGACAAGUCACUUGUGAAAUCUCCGGGCUUAACUCGGAACGGUCAAGUGAUACUGUCGGACUAGAGUACAGAAGGGGCAACUGGAAUUCUCGGUGUAGCGGUGAAAUGCGUAGAUAUCGAGAGGAACACCUGCGGCGAAGGCGGGUUGCUGGGCUGAUACUGACGCUGAGGCGCGAAAGCGUGGGGAGCGAACAGG